CUGUGCUUGCUGUGUGUGUACCAUGUCCAUCAUCGUCUAUCGGGGAACCAUUGCCAAGUUGGUAAGACCUCGCUCCAAUGAGCUUGUUGUUACACUUGUUUGUGAAAUUGGACUCACAAACUCCUUUCCACUUAGCAGGCGGAGGUGGCAUCCCAAUGUCGCUAAAUGAAGGAUGGUCAGGAAGAAUUCCAGUGUCUAUAACUCCGAUGAUCACGCCUUUCCCAUAGUUGGAAUCCAUCCAUACACCAAUGUUCUGCUGCAAACCAAGAAAACUUGGAGUAUGAGUAGUAUCCAAGGACAAAAUCCUCUGUUUCUGAGCAGAGACAAAAGCCGUGUUUCUUCUCCAUUUCCUUCACUUGUGCUGCAGUUAAUCUUGCUGACAAAACCUUUCAUCACAUUGUGAUAGGAAUAGAUCAUGCUAGCAGCCUCUUCAUUUCCACUUGAGCUAAUCGCGGUAGUAGUUUUAGGCAAAAAAGAAAGGUAAUAGCUCUCUAAAUCGGUUAACGAUGAUUGAGUAGAAAUUAGGUUUUCAGGGGAUUCAACAUGGACUAUAUAAGUCUCGAAAUCACUCUGAAUAGUAGGCCAUGGGAAAGAACAAAAGAUGAAAACAAGAAGGAUUUUCAAGAAUCCCAUGGUAUAGUAAUAGUAUAUAAAAAUGUUAUGAUUGGAAAAUGAAUUUGAUGAAGUUUUGAGAUUAGAAGCUAUCUAUAUAGAUUUGAAAAUGAAUUUGAUGAACUAUACACAUUCAUUUUAUUUUGCUCCACUUGCAAAAUCAUAUUGAUGAACUCUGAGUGUGAUGUGUAUUGAUUGUUUUUAUGAAUAUCGAUGUUUAAGGAUUAUUUUCAUCUUACUUUAAAUUAUCAAUUUCGAUCGUUUCUUUAAUUUUGCGUUUAAUUGCUUGAUUGUAUCACAAUAAUUAAGUUCUAUUUAUUAUCUAAUGUAUUAGAAAAGAAUUAAGUAGGGCAUGAUCUAAUUCCCUAGAAUUAGGGCAAGUAUUUGCAGCUUAGACAGGGAUAUAUCUAGUUGUCGUGUUCAACCAACUAUCGUAAGAAAACAUUAAUUCCAUAGAAAUAUAGGUGACAGUCUAUUUUGAUUAGGUGAGUAGUAGUUCGGAAGAAUACCAUGAAUAUUAGUAACUCGAUUAAUUAGCAAUAAUUUAUAAUUUGAAUUAACAGGAAAUAGUUUGAGAACUCGAUAGAAUUGGUGAAUCAAACCAAAAAAAAAAUAUCAGUCUUAAUUAAUCAUUAAUCACCUAUAGUAAUAAGACGUUGACCCCUAUGAAAUGGGGUCAACGAAUUAAAUGGGAAAACCCUACCAAGGUUCUUGGUAGAUGUAUGUAUUUAAUGUCGGUGAAGAUAUAUUUUGUGUGGUGCUGGCAAAAUAACCCAUAUGUUGGUAACCCAAUCAUAUUUUAAUGGAUUGGGUGAAUGGUUUUUUUAUAUGGGUUUGGUUCAUACCUCUAUUCAACCCAUAGAAAUAUGCCUAUUUAUAGUAAGUAAAAUAUGAGAAAAUGUUUCCAAAUAAACUUAUUUUCUUCGAUCAAAAGAUCACAGCAAAGUUUAAAAUAUUUUGAAUAGCAAGGAAAAAUUAUAGUCAAAAAGAAAAUUAUUUGACUCCGCCAAAUAAAUUAUCGUCGGUUAAAAUAGGACGGAGGGAGUAACAACAUUCAACUACAAUCAAAAUGAGUACUUGUAGUUUCACUAGAAUAACACAAUUGCAAUUGGACUUCUCACAGAGUGCCUGUUAGAAGUCCACUUCAAGAAUCCCUCUAUAACCCCAGGGUUUGAGCUGUUGGUUGUCUUGGAAAAUGUCACUUGGUAUGUCAAUUUCUGAUUCAGCAUUGAGAAAUUUAGUUUGGAGGGUUUAACUUUCAUGACAACGCCUUUUGGUGAAGCUAUUUCCACCUUGUAAGAUGAUUUGGCGUCACCAACGUUGGUCACAGUUCUGGUGUAUGUUUGAGGAGUUGAUCCAAGUCUGAUGGAAAAUGAAGGAUAAUUUAGUUGUGCUUCAGGGAUACUUUUUACCUCCGAGCAUUUCACCUUGCGUUGUAACAGGUAACCUACCUCUCGACUUGUGUAUUUCAAACCACAUAAAUAAGGUACAUAGUCCUCGAAUGGUGUAUCAUAAAUCAGUCCUGGAUCAUUUGCCCUCGAUGGAUUAACAUGUCCUGCACCAAUUGCAAAGAUAUCAGCAGGAAUGAGCCUUUCGUCUAGUAUUGGACUAUUUGCAAGGUUUAAUGUGUCAGCGGUUGUCAUAAUUGCAGACUUAAUAGCAGCAGGAGACCAAUCAGGAUGUGCGCUCUUCAGCAGAGCUGCUACGCCACUAAGAUGAGGGCAAGCCAUUGAGGUGCCUGAUAUGAUAUUGAAUGUGGAUUUGGUGUUUUUGUUGUCAUCCACGAAGGUAGGCCAAGCAGCAAGGAUAUUAACACCAGGACCGAUUAUGUCAGGUUUCAAGAUGCCAGGACUAACUCUACUUGGUCCGCGAGAAGAAAAUGAAGCAACUGCAGGAGCAUUUUUAUCCCCAAUUAUCGUUCCUUGGAAUGUGAUUGUAGCAACAGGGUUCGAUGUUGAGUUCAUAUAGGCACGAAUUUUCGUUCCAUCUGCAGCUGAAACAUCCAUUGCUGGAAGAACAUGAGCAUCAGCUGAUUUAGUGACUCUGUCAUCUGGACUGUUGAUGAUAAUCAUGCCAACACCUCCAGCAUCCUUUACAGCUUGUCCUUGAUCAACCCCCGGAACGCCACCAUCUGCCAAACAUAAUACUAUCUUUCCUCUUACAGCAGUGUCAUUGAGUGACCCUGGUUUGCAAUAAGGGGUUUCAGAUUGAUCACUUAUAUUUUCUCCAGCAUCAAAUAGAGUGAAGAAUGUUGAGUUGGAAAUCUUUGGAUGAUAAGCAGAUUCUCCUUCAAAUUCCUCUCUAUUUCCUAGCUUAACAGUAGCUUUCAUCUUUCUAUCAAUAGUGCUGGCGCCUACAGUAAGAAUCCACGGGGCUGUGUUUUCUACCGAGCCUCUGAAUGGACCACUAUUGCCUGCAGAGCAACUUACAAGAAUACCUCUUUCUGUUGCACUAUACGCCCCGAGAGCAAUAUUAUCACUAUGGAAAGGAAGCCUACUACGUUCACCAAGAGACAGAGAAAGAAUAUCUACGCCAUCAGCUAUAGCUGCAUCCAUAGCGGCUAUGAUAUCAAUUUCAGCACAACCAUCAGAAUUGCAUACCUUAUAUAUGGCUAUAUGGGCAAGAGGGGCAACACCAACCGCUGUACCAUUAGCAUUCCCAAAUACAUUAGCACCUUUCACAAAGGCUCCGGCAGCUGUGCCUGCUAUGUGUGUACCAUGUCCUGUAUCGUCUAUCGGGGAACCAUUGCCAAGUUGGUAAGACCUCGCUCCAAUAAGCUUGUUGUUAUACUUGUUAGUGAAAUUAGACUCACAAACUCCAUUCCACUUAGCAGGCGGAGGAGGCAUCCCAACAUCGCUAAAUGAAGGAUGAUCAGGAAAAAUUCCAUUGUCUAUAUCUCCGAUGAUCACACCUUUCCCAUAGUUUGAAUCCUUCCAUACACCAAUGUUCUGUUGCAAACCAAGAAAACUUGGAGUAUGAGUAGUAUG
rnacentral:lncRNA from 1 species